UCAGAAACCAGUGGCGAAGGAGACCAACGAAG
rnacentral:sRNA from 1 species